GGCUGGUCUCACUUCUCCAGUUUUCCUACCUAUUCCAUUAGGGAGUCACUAUCUCCACGGAAAACAAUCAGCGCAGCUGUGGAAAUUGUGACAAUUAUUCUGAAACGGAACUCCAAAGCUCAUCUCCUGGAAACUUACCAAACACAAGACCGCUGUGCAGGGACUGCUUCUAACUCUCACACCAGCUGCCAAUGAGUUUUUCAAAGGGCACAUGUUUAUGUUCGUACCGAGUGGCCAAAAAACUUGGAAGACAAAAACAACCAAUCAAGGGCAUGUGGGAUCUUACUUCCCCAGCCAAGGAUUGAACCUGUGCCCCUGAAUUGAAAGCAUGGAGUCCUAACCACUGGGCCACCAGGGAAGUCCCACGAUCAAGGUCAUUUGGACAGUCACAAGUGAAACCAAGCCU